GAUGAACGCUGGCGGCGUGCCUAAUACAUGCAAGUCGAGCGAACGGACGAGAAGCUUGCUUCUCUGAUGUUAGCGGCGGACGGGUGAGUAACACGUGGAUAACCUACCUAUAAGACUGGGAUAACUUCGGGAAACCGGAGCUAAUACCGGAUGAUAUUUUGAACCGCAUGGUUCAAAAGUGAGAGACGGUCUUGCUGUCACUUAUAGAUGGAUCCGCGCUGCAUUAGCUAGUUGGUAAGGUAACGGCUUACCAAGGCAACGAUGCAUAGCCGACCUGAGAGGGUGAUCGGCCACACUGGAACUGAGACACGGUCCAGACUCCUACGGGAGUCAGCAGUAGGGAAUCUUCCGCAAUGGGCGAAAGCCUGACGGAGCAACGCCGCGUGAGUGAUGAAGGUCUUCGGAUCGUAAAACUCUGUUAUUAGGGAAGAACAUAUGUGUAAGUAACUGUGCACAUCUUGACGGUACCUAAUCAGAAAGCCACGGCUAACUACGUG
rnacentral:rRNA from 1 species